UGGGGAAUAUUGGACAAUGGGGGAAACCCUGAUCCAGCCAUGCCGCGUGAGUGAUGAAGGCCUUAGGGUUGUAAAGCUCUUUUGCCAGGGAAGAUGAUGACGGUACCUGGAGAAUAAGCACCGGCUAACUUCGUGCCAGCAGCCGCGGUAAUACGAAGGGUGCUAGCGUUGUUCGGAAUUACUGGGCGUAAAGCGUGCGCAGGCGGCCAUUCAAGUCAGGGGUGAAAUCCUGGGGCUUAACCCCAGAAUUGCCUUUGAAACUGUAUGGCUAGAGACUCGGAGGGGUUUGGGGAAUUCCUAAUGUAGCGGUGAAAUGCGUAGAUAUUAGGAGGAACACCAGUGGCGAAGGCGCCAAACUGGACGAGUACUGACGCUCAUGCACGAAAGCGUGGGGAUCAAACAGG
rnacentral:rRNA from 1 species